UGCCAUGUCCUUGAUCGUGACUAAAGAUGUGCUCCGUAACUCCUGACAGAAUAGGAAUCACUGAAAGUGACUGAACAACAAAAAGCAAUGCUUGAAAUCCCUGGCAAAGAAAGUGCAAAUCUUCACUUAGAAGCUCAAUGGGAAGGAGUCAAAGUGGGAUGAGAAGUAUGAAUGGUUAUUCAACAGAUGAUGGAUUGGCCCACACUGUGAAAAUUAAGAGUGUUCAGCCCAGUUACUUUAAAGACUCAGGUGUUAAGAUURGAGAUCUAGUACAGAACACUGUGCUCUUCAUUGAUCACAAGUGAUGGGAAGCAAACAUCUUUGCACAGUAGGUGGAUCAAGUAUGAGACAUCAAGGUUUGAGGUGCAAAAUCCAUGAAGCAGAAACACAAAUGCCCAGAGCUCGAGCUAACAGAAUUGGAAGCCAUAGUCUUAUAAAACUAGAGUGUAGAGAGGCAAGCAGAGGAGAAACAAGACAUUCUUUUCACACUGAAAGUAAAGUCACAAGCCUGGAACCUCUCUUGCACAGGAGCCCAUGCUAUAUCCUGCAAAGACAAAGACCCCUGUUGUAAUUUAUAAGGUGCUUGCUGGUAUGUGCCAAUUUUUCUUGCCGAUCUGGUCUCCUGUAUCAGAGGUUCAAAUUUAGUUUGUCAGCAAUCUCAGCAACAUCCAAGCAAAGAGAAAGGGAAAAGCCUGCCUGGAGCAUGUGCUAACUCCUGAAGGUGUCACCCUGAAGGGGAUGAAGAAUGGAUGAGUGAUAGASAGGUCUCCUGAGUACACUAUGCAGUGAGAAAGGAAGAGAGCAGAGGUUACCAUGUCAUGCUGCUGAGCUGAGUGGCUUGGGAGGUUGCACAGUGAUCACAGCAUCCACAAGAGAGUGACCCUAAUGGGCAGUGCAGCAGUGCCAGUGCAGCUGUGGGAGUGACCCAUGGGACAUUUGACUGCAGUCUGCUGAGGACCAGUAGCACAACAUGAGGCUGGUACUCCAGUUAUUGAAGAAUCUGCCCUCAAGCUUUUCACUGCACAUAGCAUCACUGUGAAGACCAAGCCCACUGCGAGCAUCAAAGUGCCUUCCAAGGCAAAGCCGGGGCCCAAAGUCACAUCAAGGRCAGCAGGGAGGAGACAGAGGAAGAGGAUGUGGUUCUGGAGAAAAGCCAGUGACUGCGUUACUCACAAUCAAAACCUUGGUUCAGCAUCUUGAAAUGGGACCAGCUCUGUGUUCACAUCUGCAAGCUGUGGACUCUCCUGCUGUCACAGAGCUUUCAGGACUGCUGAAGGUGGUGGAUUUUUCAACUCCAGCCUUGGCUUAACCUGGCAGGUAGCAGACUGGGGAGAUGUGCUGCCAGGAUCCACACUACAGAUAUGAGUUGAUGACACCAAAGAGUGGACAAAAUGCACCAAGAUAGCGAACUCGAGUCCCACAUAUAGUGUGGGAAGCUUGCAGAAGAGACAAAUACUACUACUGAGCCCAAGUUAUAAAUGGAGCUGGUAUGGGAGAAGCAGUGUUGUUAGAGGAAUUCKAGCAAUGCCACCUUCAGACUACUGCGUAAGAUGAGGCUCCACAAGACCUUGCAGAAUGAGCCCCAUUGCAAGAAGGUACCUCUCAGUUUAAAUUGUACACAUUGGUCUGUAUCACGCCAGAUGUUUACCCUCAGCUUUCAAGAUGAUUAAACUAACGAAAUGCAGCAUAAGGUUGUUUGGAAUCUCUCAGGCCACGCCAGCUGCGUGCACUUUGCUGUGGACAGAGCWUGCCAUUGGCUUUGCACAUUGAAGAAAUCUCCAGGAUUGGUGUCCUAGAAAUAUUUUUCUAUCAGGCUGAUUAUGUACAAGUAGCUCCUGYAGCCCCAGACAUCCUUGUUGUGCUCAAAGAUGAGCUUUGUUUCUGUUCUGCCCAAGCCAGGAAGCAGAAUUUUAUAGUUGCAGCUGUCUUGGCCAGUUCUCCCCACCAGUGCCAAUGGUUUGGCAAAAAGAGGAAGAACAAGAACCAUUCCAGUCCUGAUCUACAGCACCAAGUGAUUUGUUUCUGCCCUGUACCAGAUUAUCCUCAACAAGAGUUGCAGRGAUAUCUUUUAUAGCAUUAAUAUGUAAGCUGCAGUUAGAGUGUAGAGAAAACUCAGCACCUGCAUCACCUUGG